UACGUAGGGUGCAAGCGUUGUCCGGAAUUAUUGGGCGUAAAGAGCGUGUAGGCGGUCCGGUAAGUCGGCUGUGAAAGUCCAGGGCUCAACCCUGGGAUGCCGGUCGAUACUGCCGGACUAGAGUUCGGAAGAGGCGAGUGGAAUUCCCGGUGUAGCGGUGGAAUGCGCAGAUAUCAGGAGGAACACCAAUAGCGAAGGCAGCUCGCUGGGACGUUACUGACACUGAGGCGCGAAAGCGUGGGGAGCGAACAGG
rnacentral:rRNA from 1 species